UGCUUGGAUACAUAAAUACACCGACUUCCCCAUUCACACAGCACUCUAAUCUAGACCACUGAUAGCAAGGCUUCAGACUUUACAGACACACUGGCACCUGGGAAUCAACAGGCCCAGGUCUCCUGUCAGGUUCUCUUGGAAGAUCAAGCUCGUUGCGGCCAACAAUAGUCAGGCAAACAGAGAACGUCUGGAUCUGAAAGUUCCAGGUUAAUAUUUUGCGCAUCAACCUCCACAGAAUGUCAGGGCAAAUGAGAGCCCCUCUCCUUUCGGCAAGAGAAGCACAGCUGAGCUAACGGUCACAUGCUCAGUCAUACGACAGGCUGUGCACUUCAACAGCGUUUCAGAGACAUGCAAAACAAAACAAAAACAAGGGCACCAGGCCUGGAUUUAGCAGCGGGGUCAUGCGAAAAUAGGCUCCAUGAAAGCAAAAAACCCAGUAUCCAUCGUUCCCUCGUUCCCUGCAUCCAGCAUAUCCAGUGUGUCUGAGGGCUGUAUGGCCAGGGACUCUCCACUGUCUACUUCCACUGAGGAGCUGUGCUGCUCAUCACCCAGGCAUGUUCCACUGUCUAGGUCUGACAGGGAAGUCGUCUCUGGACUCCGCGACCAACCACCGUCUGGGUGUGUCUGGGUUCCAAGGGUCACUCCUAUGUCUGAAGGAAAAAUCUCCUGUUGUGUCAGCUCUGAAGACCACUCUGGGGAGGGACAGGGGGAAGUGAUGACCUCAUCGCCAAGUGUGUCUGCGGCCCUUUCAUGAUGAAACAGUGUGUCAGACUGGGAGUCUCCCUGGGGUGUACUCAGUCCUGCCGGACCGGCCUCCAAUCCCGGUCCACUUUCAGGCCUCUCACUAGCCUGGUCGCCGUUCUCCUCGUGUUGUCUGAGGUUAGGCUCUGCCUCUCCCUUUGAGGGGUUCUCCGAAUCCUCGGGAGUGAAGGUUGGACCUUCGUCUGAGGUGGCGAGGGUGGCCUCAGAGACUGUGACCCCAGCCAUUGGCGCAGUGUCUUGGGGUCCGGUCAGAGGCUGGCUCCUGGCAGUCUCCAAGGCCUGGCUCUCCUCCAGCGUGGCGUUGCAUUGUUCUACAUUUGCGACAGCAGCUGCGAUGGCUAUGGCCACUACUGCUAUUGCCGUGGCUGCUAUCUCUUCCCUGUGAGCCAGGGAGUCUGUCUCCUCCAGCGACGCCCACUGAACGGAGAGCUUAUUUAUCCUGGGCGUCUCCUGUCCUCCCACAGCGCUCUCUUCAGACGGAUCAACUGCCUGGACGAGCUCCUUCUCCUCCUCGGCCAAGGAAAUGUCGGCGGACGUCUGUUCGUCGCGUUCCUGCCCUCCCCGGUCUCGGGCGCCGUCCGGGUCCGGCCUACUUUGUGGUGGUGCCGCUAUCUCCGCUGUGUCCUGCGGCUCCGAGCCCGGGACCGGCUCACUCGGUUGUGGUGACGGAACUCUAUCAGGUUGUCGGAAACAUCCGCUCUCGCUGUCUCCCUCCGCCAUGCUGGGGCUUCGGCUUGCGUCGGUUGUCUGGGCGCCUCCGCUCCUGCUGCUGGUUGACUCAGGGCUGAAUCCGUUGGUCGGUUGGCUGGGGUUUCCUGCCUCUGUCUCAGUGUCGUCAGCACCGCCCCCGUCCCCGCCUCCCUCCUCCUCGGCCCCAGGGGUCUGGCGGCAGCUAAAGCCCCACUCGUGCUCCUCAGAAUAACUUGUCACGGCUGCAGCAGUUUCCUGUCUUUGUUCCGAGUCCUGUGACUCCGUAGCGUGCGCCCCGUGGCAGCUCUUGGCUCCCGUCGUCGUCUGAAGGGCACAUUCAGUGGCCGCCUCGGCGUACCCCAACUUGCCGUUUUCCACAGGGGUCUCCUGGAUGAUCUCAGGCUCUCCCUGCCUGUGUGCGGUUUCCUGAGCCCCCAUGUCACCGCUGUUAGCAGUCCUCUCCCCGGCCCGCUGGGGUUCCUGCCUGUCUUCCUGCCCGUCUUCCGGGUGUUCCUGGCUCUCCUGGGACUGUGUCUGGCCCAUGGCCGAUGAAGCCAGGGCAGCGGCGAACGUCUCUGCCCUCCUCUUCUCUCUCUCCGCUUUGUUUCUUUUACGGCGACCUGCCUUGCCGCCCUGCCUGGCGGUGAUUAAGCCUGUCCUCUCUCUAUCAGCUUCCUCCGGCUGAUUUCCACAGGAUGGUGCGCUGAAAGCUAAAGCCUCGCCCUCCCUCGGCUGCUGGGCUGCGGCUUCGCUUCUUUUAUCAGACGCCUUCCCACAGUCCUCUACAGCCGUCUGAGCAGAGCACGCCUCCCCUUCCUCUUGCUGGCCGUUCGGAAAAGGCCCCGCCCCUCCCGGGAGGCAGGCAUGGCAGUGGGGGGGGCGUGAAGCAGUGUGUGCUGACAGGUUGCUGAGGUCGCUGGAUCCUACUGUGGGGGUGUUCAGCUCGUCUGCCGACAACUUCUGGAACACAACAUCUCCCUGCAGUACAGACAGAAACAUUGUUGAAAAACUGUCCCAUAAAUUACAUAUCACACACACACACACACACACACAGUAUAUUCACUUCCUGUGAAGAUAAGACUUAGUACACAAAACAUUCAGCCCAAAUAAACUGAUAGCAUGCUGAUAAGUGACAAUAGCCCAUGUUUUUCCUUUAGGCGCACGUUACCCAGUUGCC
ensembl:lncRNA